CUACGGGUCGCUGCAGUGGGGAAUAUUGGACAAUGGGGGAAACCCUGAUCCAGCAAUGCCGCGUGUGUGAAGAAGGCCUGCGGGUUGUAAAGCACUUUCGGUUGGGAGGACUGCUUCUAGCACUAAUAUUGUUGGAAGUUGACGUUACCUUCAGAAGAAGCACCGGCUAACUCCGUGCCAGCAGCCGCGGUAAUACGGAGGGGUGCAAGCGUUAAUCGGAAUUACUGGGCGUAAAGCGCGCGUAGGCGGCUAGAUCAGUCGGGUGUGAAAGCCCCGGGCUUAACCUGGGAACUGCAUCCGAUACUGUCUAGCUUGAGUACAGGAGAGGAGAGUGGAAUUCCACAUGUAGCGGUGAAAUACGUAGAUAUGUGGAGGAACACCAAUGGCGAAGGCAGCUCUCUGGCCUGAUACUGACGCUGAGGUGCGAAAGCGUGGGGAUCAAACAGGAUUAGAUACCCUUGUAGUC
rnacentral:rRNA from 1 species